rnacentral:snRNA from 1 species
AUCGCUUCUGACCUUUUGGCUAAGAUCAAGUGUAGUAUCUGUUCUUAUCAGUUUAAUAUCUGAUACGUCCCCUAUCUGGGACCAUAUAUUAAAUGGAUUUUUGGGACAGGGAGAUGGAAGAAGAGCUUGCUCUGUCCACUCCACGCAUUGACCUGGUAUUGCAGUACCUCCAGGACCGGUGCACCUCUC